rnacentral:rRNA from 1 species
AUUGAACGCUGGCGGCAUGCCUUACACAUGCAAGUCGAACGGUAACAGGUCUUCGGAUGCUGACGAGUGGCGAACGGGUGAGUAAUACAUCGGAACGUGCCCGAGAGUGGGGGAUAACGAGGCGAAAGCUUUGCUAAUACCGCAUACGAUCUCAGGAUGAAAGCAGGGGACCGCACGGCCUUGCGCUCACGGAGCGGCCGAUGGCAGAUUAGGUAGUUGGUGGGAUAAAAGCUUACCAAGCCGACGAUCUGUAGCUGGUCUGGGAGGACGACCAGCCACACUGGGACUGAGACACGGCCCUGACUCCUACGGGAGGCAGCAGUGGGGAAUUUUGGACAAUGGGCGCAAGCCUGAUCCAGCCAUGCCGCGUGCAGGAUGAAGGCCUUCGGGUUGUAAACUGCUUUUGUACGGAACGAAAAGACUCUGGUUAAUACCUGGGGUCCGUGACGGUACCGUAAGAAUAAGCACCGGCUAACUACGUGCCAGCCGCCGCAGUAACAC